UUCAUUUCAGUUGGCACUUGGCCGUGCAGCAGGCGUUUCAUUUUUCUCAUCCUCCCAAGUAUUUCUAUUUCUUCCCAGCUAAUCAUUAUCCUAUAUUUCAAUUCUAUUGCUAAUUUUCUCAGUUAAUUCUGUUUUAUUGAUUUGAUUACGCUACCGCUCUCUGUGCCUGUGCUGAUUCUCAAUUUCCACUCAAAAUUCUCUUUUAUGCGAACGUGUCAGUGUGUUUGAUCAUUGUCUUUGAGGCGUGAGCUUAACUCCUCUCGAUCUAAGUCCAGGAAUAAUUAACCGUAAAAUACAUGUAUUAGUGCAGCUAGAAACCCUGAUUCCAUCUACUUUCUUCUUUGUUUAUUCAAUUUUACUUUCAUUAUCGUUGUUUGUACAUUUGUAUACGAUGUAUUUCUGUGGAAUUGCUGCAGAAUGUACUUCUCCCUGUGUUAUCUGUAUGUCACCUACAUGGUAAUUUUUCUGACAUGAAAACGUUCCAACAUCUGUAAUUCACACUUACCAUUUGAAGUUAACUACAAAUACAUAAAUUUACUAUUUUCAUUUCCUCUUUUUGUUAUGGCCUAUCUAAUGCUCUCUCUGUCCCAAGCUAGUUGAUCUACAUUUCUUUAGGGCACGGGGUAAUUGAUGUUAAUUGAUGUUUAAAGGUUAAAUGGAGAGAGAAUAAAGUAGGAAAUAUAUUAAAGUAAGUGAGAGAGAGAGAGAAUAAAGGAAGAAAGGAUAAAGCUUUUGCAAAAAGAAGAAAUGGAACUAGCUUGGGACAACCCAAACUGGAAUAUGUAGCAAGUAGCUUGGGACAAAUGACGUAGUUGUUGUUAUGCGGAGAAGUUUGCAAUAGGUUUGUAUAUACCAGUCUGCACUCUGCAACUGACUUCACAUCCUCAUUGUUGGUAGGGUUAGCGUUAAUAAGACAGGAAAAAUAUGUUUUAUUUUAUCUGAAAUGGCACUUAUCCUGACUGUUAAUUCCCACUGUGAUGCUUGAGUAUUAACUAUUUAGAAUUCUAUGCUUAAAUGAUCGAGCUCGUCUUGUAUAUUUAAAAUGUAUUUGGUUUAAUGCUUUUUCUAGGAUGACCGUUCCUCAAGUACCCAAGAUCUAUCCCAAUCUAGCAAAUUAAGUGUAUCAUCACAUGUAUCGGUCCAUAUAUGAGGCCUUCAUGCUUAUCAACAUCCGUAUAAUGCCAUCAACAACAACAUCUUCUUUGCUAACCUAGAAGGCAACUGGAACCUUAUUCCCCCUCAUUUGGUAUAUUGUAAGGCCAAGUAUGUCUGGUGACCGGACUUUCGUAGACGGGGACGCUUCCUCUGGGUCUGGCGAGGAAGCAAACAUGUUAGAUAGCCAGAAUAAACACCAUACCACGAUUCCGCACUCAGGGCAGCACAAGAGAAGCCGCAAAGCAACAGGUGAUGCUAUUGUGGAUGCUAUGUUGGAGAUAGCUGCAGCUUCAAAGAUGAGAGCUGCUGCAAUCAUGAGAAAUGAGGAGCGUUUCACCAUAAGCAAAUGCAUAAAAAUAUUGGAUGAGAUGCAAGGUGUUGAUCAAACUGUAUACUUUUUUGCUUUGGAUUUAUUUGAAAAUCCCUCAGCAAGAGAAACUUUCGUAUCUCUUAAAAGGGAGAGGCGAUUAGUAUGGAUGCAGGGGAAGUUUAGAGCAUCCACAAGUUCAGCAGCAUGACUAGGUUGAUUUAUUUUCCAACUUGUUUCUUUUCUGCACAUUUUUGCAAUCAGGCAUAUUCUCUACAAAAUGUGUACCAACUCUAGCAAUGCUUUUCUGAAUGUGGCCCAUGUACUUAGCUUGAUUUUUUGGUCAGAGAUGCUAUGCGGAAAUGCUUGAUGGUUUAUAUGUUUUUCCUGGCA